rnacentral:lncRNA from 1 species
CUAAGACCAGACAAGACAGCCCAGCUAGAACAUAUCCCACAGACAGGCAGCAGCUUUUGGGAGAGCCCUGGCUCCAAUUGUUCAGGACUCAGAUGAAAGCCAAGCUUGCACGUCUGCUCCAGAUGAGCAGGGAGGCCUGGGUUCAGCCCUGUGUGUUCCUUAGUUGUCGGUUUAGACUCUGAGAGCCCAAGGUCCAGGUAAUCCUACAUCGACAUUUAGUUGUAGUAAACAAGACAGUGGUCCCGUAUACAUUUUGCCCAGGAUCCGUGAGUCUGUGUGUCCUUCUGCCAAGCCAAAGGCAGCCUGCCCACUUGUCUCUCAGACAUCCUGGCCGUUCUCCACUGAAGGUUCAACUCACCUGGGCCCCAGUCCUCACCUCCCAAGCCCUGGCUCCUUGAGCCUGUUGAUGCCGUCUGCGUAUAGAUGUGGGCUCUGGCUGCCAGCUCAGAGCCUCUUAUACCUCCCCACUCCUUGCUUCUCACUCCUUUUCUUGUUUUGGUGUUCCUGAGAAUUUUUAC